rnacentral:rRNA from 1 species
GGGGAAUAUUGGGCAAUGGGCGCAAGCCUGACCCAGCAACGCCGCGUGAGGGAAGAAGGUUUUCGGAUUGUAAACCUCUGUCCUGGGGGACGAAAAAAAUGACGGUACCCCGGGAGGAAGCCCCGGCUAACUACGUGCCAGCAGCCGCGGUAAUACGUAGGGGGCGAGCGUUGUCCGGAAUUACUGGGCGUAAAGGGUGCGUAGGCGGCAUGUUAAGUUGGAUGUGAAAUACCCGGGCUCAACCUGGGGGGUGCAUCCAAAACUGGCAAGCUAGAGUGCAGGAGAGGAAAGCGGAAUUCCUAGUGUAGCGGUGAAAUGCGUAGAUAUUAGGAGGAACACCAGUGGCGAAGGCGGCUUUCUGGACUGCAACUGACGCUGAUGCACGAAAGCGUGGGGAGCAAAC